rnacentral:rRNA from 1 species
AUACGGAGGGGACAAGCGUUAUUCGGAAUCACUGGGCGUAAAGGACGCGUAGGCGGGUUAUUAAGUCGGGUGUGAAAUCCAAUGGCUCAACCAUUGAACUGCAUUCGAAACUGAUAACCUAGAGUAUGGAAGGGGCAGGUGGAAUUAGUGGUGUAGGGGUAAAAUCCGUAGAUAUCACUAGGAAUACCGAAAGCGAAGGCGAUCUGCUGGGACAUUACUGACGCUGAGGCGUGAAAGCGUGGGGAGCAAACAGGAUUAGAAACCCGAGUAGUCC